GAUGAAGAACGUAGCGAAAUGCGAUAAGUAAUGUGAAUUGCAGAAUUCAGUGAAUCAUCGAAUCUUUGAACGUACCUUGCGCCCUUUGGCCAUUCCGAAGGGCAUGCCUGUUUGAGUAUCAUGAACACCUCAACUCUUUAUGGUUUUCCAUGAUGAGCUUGGACUCUGGGGGUUUUGCUGGCUCACAGUCGGCUCCUCUAAAAUGAAUCAGCUUACCAGUGUUUGGUGGGUAUCAUGGGUGUGAUAACUAUCUACGCUUGUGGUUUUUCCACCAGGUAACCUUCAGCAGUGGAGGUUCGCUGGAGCUCAUAGAUGUCUCUCCUCAGUGAGGACAGCCCUUUGAAUGUUUGAUCUCAAAUCAGGUAGGACUACCCGCUGAACUUAAGCAUAUCAAUAAGCGGAGGA
rnacentral:misc_RNA from 1 species